AUUGAACGCUGGCGGCAUGCUUUACACAUGCAAGUCGAACGGUAACAGGCCGCAAGGUGCUGACGAGUGGCGCACGGGUGAGUAAUGCAUCGGAACGUGCCCAGUCGUGGGGGAUAACUACUCGAAAGAGUAGCUAAUACCGCAUACGAUCUAUGGAUGAAAGCGGGGGACCGUAAGGCCUCGCGCGAUUGGAGCGGCCGAUGUCAGAUUAGGUAGUUGGUGGGGUAAAGGCUCACCAAGCCAACGAUCUGUAGCUGGUCUGAGAGGACGACCAGCCACACUGGGAGUGAGACACGGCCCAGACUCCUACGGGAGGCAGCAGUGGGGAAUUUUGGACAAUGGGCGCAAGCCUGAUCCAGCAAUGCCGCGUGCAGGAAGAAGGCCUUCGGGUUGUAAACUGCUUUUGUACGGAACGAAACGGCUCUGGUUAAUACCCGGGGCUAAUGACGGUACCGGAAGAAUAAGCACCGACUAACCACGUG
rnacentral:rRNA from 1 species